rnacentral:rRNA from 1 species
AGAGUUUGAUCCUGGCUCAGGAUGAACGCUAGCUACAGGCUUAACACAUGCAAGUCGAGGGGAAACGACAUCGAAAGCUUGCUUUUGAUGGGCGUCGACCGGCGCACGGGUGAGUAACGCGUAUCCAACCUGCCCACCACUUGGGGAUAACCUUGCGAAAGUAAGACUAAUACCCAAUGACGUCUCUAGAAGACAUCUGAAAGAGAUUAAAGAUUUAUCGGUGAUGGAUGGGGAUGCGUCUGAUUAGCUUGUUGGCGGGGUAACGGCCACCAAGGCGACGAUCGAGUAGGGGUUCUGAGGAGGAAGGUCCCCCACCAUUGGAACUGAGACACGGUCCAAACGUCCUACGGGAGGCCA